rnacentral:rRNA from 1 species
GAUGAACGCUGGCGGCGUGCUUAACACAUGCAAGUCGAACGGAAAGGCCUCUGCUUGCAGGGGUACUCGAGUGGCGAACGGGUGAGUAACACGUGGGCGAUCUGCCCUGCACUUCGGGAUAAGCCAGGGAAACUGGGUCUAAUACCGGAUAGGACAAUGGUUUGGAUGCUGUGGUGGAAAGUUUUUCGGUGUGGGAUGAGCUCGCGGCCUAUCAGCUUGUUGGUGGGGUAAUGGCCUACCAAGGCGUCGACGGGUAGCCGGCCUGAGAGGGUGUACGGCCACUUUGCGACUCUGAUACGGACCCGAGGCCUACACGAGGCAGCAAGGGAGAAUAUUGCACAAUGGGCGCAAGCCUGAUACAGCGACGCCGCGUGGCGGAGGACGGCCUUCAGGUUGUAGACUCCUUUCACUCUUUACGAGGCGUUUUUAUUACGGUUCCUGGAGAAGGAGCCCCGGCUUACUACGUG